rnacentral:rRNA from 1 species
GACGAACGCUGGCGGCGUGCUUAACACAUGCAAGUCGAACGGAAAGGCCCUGCUUUUGUGGGGUGCUCGAGUGGCGAACGGGUGAGUAACACGUGAGUAACCUGCCCUUGACUUUGGGAUAACUUCAGGAAACUGGGGCUAAUACCGGAUAGAAGCUCCUGCUGCAUGGUGGGGGUUGGAAAGUUUCGGCGGUUGGGGAUGGACUCGCGGCUUAUCAGCUUGUUGGUGGGGUAGUGGCUUACCAAGGCUUUGACGGGUAGCCGGCCUGAGAGGGUGACCGGCCACAUUGGGACUAAGAUACGGCCCAGACUCCUACGGGAGGCAGCAGUGGGGAAUAUUGCACAAUGGGCGGAAGCCUGAUGCAGCAACGCCGCGUGCGGGAUGACGGCCUUCGGGUUGUAAACCGCUUUCGCCUGUGACGAAGCGUGAGUGACGGUAAUGGGUAAAGAAGCACCGGCUAACUACGUG